CGAACGCUGGCGGCAUGCCUAACACAUGCAAGUCGAACGAGACCUUCGGGUCUAGUGGCGCACGGGUGCGUAACGCGUGGGAAUCUGCCCUUGGGUUCGGAAUAACAGUUAGAAAUGACUGCUAAUACCGGAUAAUGUCUUCGGACCAAAGAUUUAUCGCCCAGGGAUGAGCCCGCGUAGGAUUAGCUAGUUGGUGAGGUAAAGGCUCACCAAGGCGACGAUCCUUAGCUGGUCUGAGAGGAUGAUCAGCCACACUGGGACUGAGACACGGCCCAGACUCCUACGGGAGGCAGCAGUGGGGAAUAUUGGACAAUGGGCGAAAGCCUGAUCCAGCAAUGCCGCGUGAGUGAUGAAGGCCUUAGGGUUGUAAAGCUCUUUUACCCGGGAUGAUAAUGACAGUACCGGGAGAAUAAGCCCCGGCUAACUCCGUG
rnacentral:rRNA from 1 species